CCGCGGCCCCGCCUCCGAGCCCAAGGUCCCCGGCCGGAUGCCCCAUUUUACCCUGCCCGCGGAGAGAGGAGGGGCGCGUGGCGCUGAUUGGACUUCCCUGGUGGUGCAGUGGUCAAGAAUCCGCCUGCCAAUGCAGAGGACACGGGUUCGAGCCCUGGUGCGGGAAGAUCCCACAUGCCGCGGAGCAACCAAGCCCAUGCGCCACAACUACUGAGCCUGCACUCUAGAGCCCGCCAGCCACAACUACUGAAGCCCACGCACAUAGAGCCUGUGCUCUGCAACAAGGGAAGCCACCGCAAUGAGAAGCCCACACACCCCAAUGAAGAGCAGCCCGCGAUCACCACAACUAGAGAAAGCCCACGUACAGCAACGAAGACCCAACGCAGCCAUAAAUUAAUUAAUUAAUUUAAAAAUCAUUUUAAACAUUGGGAUCCAUAUUUAAGUUUUCUUCCCCCUGCUAGGUUUUUUUGGGGGGGGGGAAUCUUUUUCCUGGGUGGACAGUUAAAAAUUUAACCUCUACGUA